UGGGGAAUAUUGGACAAUGGGGGGAACCCUGAUCCAGCGACGCCGCGUGAGUGAAGAAGUAUUUCGGUAUGUAAAGCUCUAUCAGCAGGGAAGAAAGAAAUGACGGUACCUGACUAAGAAGCCCCGGCUAACUACGUGCCAGCAGCCGCGGUAAUACGUAGGGGGCAAGCGUUAUCCGGAUUUACUGGGUGUAAAGGGAGCGUAGACGGCGAUGCAAGUCUGAAGUGAAAGGCGGGGGCCCAACCCCCGGACUGCUUUGGAAACUGUAUAGCUGGAGUGCAGGAGAGGUAAGUGGAAUUCCUA
rnacentral:rRNA from 1 species